rfam:Erinaceus europaeus unplaced genomic scaffold scaffold01596, whole genome shotgun sequence
GUCUUGGCUUGGGCAGCACAUAUACUAAAGUUGAAAGUCUACAGAGAAGUUUAGCAUGGCCCCUGUGCAAGGAUGUCAUGCAAAUUUGUGAAGCAUUCUAUUUAUUU